rnacentral:lncRNA from 1 species
UCGUAAAGAAACUGUAAAGAUAUUCCUUGGAGAACAAGCUAAUACAAAGGUUUUAGAGUUUUUACACAGGAGUACUCUCUCUCCUCACACAAAAGAUCGAUGAUCACACUCGAUACAUUUCUCUUAUUCAUUACUACUCUUAUAGAAAGCAUAAAGCAAAUAGCCACGUCACAGACAACCCAUGUGCGCAGACAAUACGGUUAUUACGUCCUCUCCUCCUUCCUUGUAUUCUUAUCCUUCUAGAUCCUUUCUUGUCUCAUUCUUCUCCUCUACUGUUCCGACCUUGGGCCUCCUCUUGUAGUGAUGGAUAAUAGGUGGCCUUAUAGCCUCGUACAUAACAUAAGGUUAGAUCAGGAGGAUAAGAUCUGCGAGACUUGCUCUUCCCUUUCCAGGAACUUUCAUCACUCAGCAGUUUAAGUGAUUUAGAUCUUGGUCCCUCUAGUUCAUCUUCAAACUCUCUCCUCACACCUUCCUCUAACAAAGAACCAUCACUAUAAUGCCUAGAGUGUAACACACGCCUGUGAGUCUCAUCGGUCACUAUCUCUGGCGAUGGAGACGGUGGCAAUGAUGGCGAACUACACCGUGAUGACCCUUGAAGACUCUUUUCCUCCACAUUAGAGUUUAAAGACUCCCCAGAGAGAGAACGAGAAGGCGAGUAUCUGUUCUUCUGAUCAUUGGACUCAAAGCUAGUCCGUGAUGAAGAAGAAGAAACACUAGACCGGGUCGUAAACCGGGUUUCAUCGUCUCCCAUUGCCAUCAUCUCAGCCACGACCUCAUCAUCAUUAUCAGCCAAUGACUCCUCCUCAGCUUUCUCCUUCUCCUCCUCAAGAGCCGACCUUAAACUCCUAACCGGCAAGCCUAACGACUGGUGCACAACGUGACCAUCAAGACCAUAAGCUGGUCUCGCAACCACAACAACCUUAGACCUCCCUUGCAAAUACCGCGAGUUCCAGGCUUGCACUUGAUUGAUCUCACCGUACUCAGACUUAUUCGUCUCCUCUUCCUCCUCCUCGUCGAAAACAGAGGAAGCCUGGAGGAUUCCAGACACGUAAGACAAGGAAGACUCAUCUACACAACUCAUCCUCGACUCAACGUUUGAUUCUCCGACGUUCCUACGGCUGAACAAACCGUAAGCGACGGCAAUGCCGACGAAGAGGAGGUGAAUCAGCUCCCAGAGCUUGGUGAGAACCGUCUCUCCGACGAAGUCGGGAGCCUGAGAAGGGAACAAUGGCAAGGCGAGGAGGAACAUACCGAGUAGGAUAGGCUUAGAGAAGAAUCCUCCACCGGUUGGGGAGGCAGACGGCGGCGUAGCGGCGGCGGUGGUGCUUCGCGGAGGAGAAGGAUGCUUGGUGUAUGAACUCGGAGACGCCAUUUGAUUUUGAGAUCUCGAGUGGGAGAAGAAGGAAGAAGGAGUGUUGUUUAGGGCUUUAUUGGGGUUGUGGUAAGGUAUGUGGAGGAAGGAAAGAAGACUUCGUAGCGACGUAAAAGACAGAUCUAACAUUAAAGUUGUGUUUUGUUCAGACAAAGAGUGAGAAUGCAAACUAUCUUGCAACAGAGAGAGAGAGAGAGAUUAAAGAAGCUGCUUGUCGGAAAGUCUGUUGUCGGGAUUUACGGAAUUGACCCUUGGCGUUAUCUGCUACGCGAAGCAUUCGACGUCGGUUGAUAUUUUUUUAACAUUAGAACAAAAGAAGGGAAGAUCGUAUCUUUCAGUUCAGUGUCCUGCAAGAGAUUCUAGAUUGGUCUGACUUCCGUCUUAUGUGGACCCAGUUAAUGUCCAAAUGUUUAUGUUACGUCACGUACAUGGGCCUAUACAGUUUUAUUUUGAUUAGGAAAACUACUGGGCCGAUUAUUUCAAGCUAGGCCCAAGCAUAGAUUAUUUGAUGUUGAUUCUUGGUGGUUUUUGAAAAAUGGUGGAUCAUAUAAAUCUGAAUUUCGCAGUAAUUGCCGUUAAAAUUUUUUUUUUAAAAAAAAUUUAAUGGGCCAUGUGAAAGAAAAAAUCAUUUUCAUGUAAUGAUCUUCCUCGCAAUUUCGUUUGUGAAUCCUACUAUAUAAAAGGAGCUAAAUCAUAGCUUCCUAAGCCUAUCCACAUGUGCACAAAUAAUCAGGACCAAUCAAUAUGCCAGGUCAUCACGAAGUGGGCUUGCAAUUAAAAAAAUGAAAUCUUCACGGCCCAGUCAAUAGCCUCAUCCCGCAAUAGAAAGUGGCCGCUCUACAAGACCACUCACAAUAAACCUAGCAGACAUCGUCUACGUCUUAUCUUAUUGUAAUUCUUCUUCGUUACCUACCAAAUACUAUUUACUUUGGACAAUUACUUAUUUCAACUGUCAAACUAUUUUCUUUUGAAUUUUCUAUUUUUUCAGACAAUUUAUUAUUUCUUACUGUUUUAUUAUUUAUUUUUAGCUAAGUCACUAAUUUAUUAAUUUAAAAAUACCCUUAAUUAAUAUUAUAUAUAUUAAAAAUGAAUUUUUUAUUAGUAAUAUUAAAUUUCUAUUUUAUAUUAAAAUUUAGUUAGUUUUUCUUAUUUGUCAUAUUUUGUUAGGUUUUAGACUUUUAGAUAGGUUAUUGAUUUAUUAUUAAUUUCUAACUGAUUCGCUAAUGUGUUAAUUAAAACAAUACCCUUAAUGAAUUUUAUAUAUAAUUAAAAACAUGAAAUCGCGGCGGUAGUUGCGUACGGUGUCCUUUUGUCGCAGGCACAGCACCCGCUCCCCUGCACUCGUAUCUUGAGCCGGUGAGAACUGUUCCAACACCCGAAUCUUCAUCUGCUCCCAACUGAGAAACGGGUUUCGGUUUCUCUCCCAUCGGUACCACGGUAGAGCCUCGCCGGUAUAACACAUCCUAACCGCACGUAGCUUCUCUUCCUCCGUGAAAUCAAACAUCUCAAAGUACUGCUCGACACGGUGCACCCAACUCUCCACUCCGUCACCGUCAAACAGAGGAAUCUCUAUCUUCCGCGCGAGUGAAUCUUCUCGUUCCUCCAUAGCAGUCUUCCGGCGGUAUAGUGUCGCUGCGGAGCUUGUCUCCUGCCCCGACUCCGCUACGAACCUUCCACCGGAAACGCUCCUUGGUUCCCCCAUAAUCGACUUCCCCGAUCCUUCUCCCUGAUACGCUGUUGGUUUGAGAGCAUCGGCUGGGUUGGAGAUCAGAUCAGGGGUUAUCGGCCCUCCUACACGCCGAUCCUUCUCCCCUGUCGGAUCUACCUUCCUCAGCGCGAGUUUCUCAAACCCACUAGCCAUCAUCUUCAUCAACUCACUCAUUUGUUCCUUCAUCGUUGAUAGCUCCCCCUCCAUCGCGACAAAUCUCUCGUCGUCACGUUGGGCCAGCUCGAUCGCCUUGUCGUCGUUCUUCUUUGGUGCCAUCGCCAAGCCGCAGGUUCGUCUUGCUCUGAUACCAAGUUUGAUACGACUAGAUUGUAAAAGUUUGCACUCGUAAAGAAACUGUAAAGAUAUUCCUUGGAGAACAAGCUAAUACAAAGGUUUUAGAGUUUUUACACAGGAGUACUCUCUCUCCUCACACAAAAGAUCGAUGAUCACACUCGAUACAUUUCUCUUAUUCAUUACUACUCUUAUAGAAAGCAUAAAGCAAAUAGCCACGUCACAGACAACCCAUGUGCGCAGACAAUACGGUUAUUACGUCCUCUCCUCCUUCCUUGUAUUCUUAUCCUUCUAGAUCCUUUCUUGUCUCAUUCUUCUCCUCUACUGUUCCGACCUUGGGCCUCCUCUUGUAGUGAUGGAUAAUAGGUGGCCUUAUAGCCUCGUACAUAACACGCUCUCGUCAGGCAUGUGGUGAAGCUGAAACGCAAAGUUGACGAUCAAAGCCUCUCCUGGUUUGCAACCGAGUGCAGAUGGAGAGACGAUUAAAGAAG